rnacentral:lncRNA from 1 species
UUUUGCCCUGCCUCUCCCUUCAGAAGAAGAUUUGCCUAUAAAGUUAUUUUUAGAUGCCUUCUGAGCAAGUUUUGUGGGAAGACAAGCAGCCAGCAGCCCCCGGCGAGCUGCUGAGCCCACCCCUCUCAGCUUACAGCAUGUAAUUAGCAGAUAAUCAUGCCAAAAUCGCAGACUCCAACAGGCUAAUUUUAUCGCAUGUGCUGACAUCGAAAAUUCAAAACAGCUGGAAACUAAGGACUUCUUUGUGUGCGGCGUUUCCAGUCCCAGUCCCAGCAAGCCCAGAAAACCUGUGCUUUCCCGGCAGUGGAUGCGGCGGAGAGACCUGGUUGACGGGAUGGAGCCCGGCUCGGCUGUCGGAUGCGCCGGGGAGGUGCUUGUGUUUCUUCGUGGUUUUUUGGUGGGGGGCAGCCAGAUGUAGUGUUGGCUUUCUCAGAAAUAACAUAGCUGGUCUGUCG